GGUGGAGAUUGGGGUGUUGCCUCUAGAAGCCGAGGAAUGCCAAAGCUUGCCAGCAAACCACGAGAAGCCAGGCAGGCGGCGUGGAGCAAAUCCCCUCUCACAGAAGGAACCGGCCCUGCCAUCACCUUGAUCUCGGACUUCCAGCCUCCAGGACCAUGAGACAACACAUAUCUGCUGUGUAAGCCACAUGGUUUGUGGAACUUGGUGACAGCGGCUCUUGGAAACAAACACACAUGGCUUCUCCGUGUUGCGCCAGAAUUUCCUUCCUUUUGAAGGCUGACAUGUUGAAAGAUUGCACCGACUGCAGUGUGAGAACUGGUGGGAGGCAGGUAGAGCGGUUGGGCAGCCUGUCGGAGCAAUCGUCGCUGCCUCUUCCCAGAGCCCGUUGAAUGUGGCUGUGGAUGGUCCUCAUCGCAUGAGUGUCACUGCGUCUGCAGCUCCUUGGUCCCAGUGGGAUCUGGAACAUGGCACUUUGUCUCCUGGGGCCCAGCUUUCCUCAUUCAGGCAGUGGGCCUGUAUCAGCACCGAUUCCAUGUUAAAGAAGAAUUUUCCUUGCUCGAGUGUAUGACUGCUUUGCUGAAGCUGGUAGACUUAUUCACUAAAAACAGCCUCAAGAAAAGAGGACCUUGAGCAUAGGUGAGAGAGAAAUGCGCUAACAAUCCCGGGAGCAGGCUGCCUGGCAGUUUUCUACCACCAGAUAAGAAGACUCUGGCUGUGCCUGCAAAAGGUCACAAGACACUCACCAAGACAGCAGUGAUGAACUGCCUGCCUGGGGCUGCGCGCAUAGCUGCUGUUGCAAAGAAUGCUUUGAUCAUCAUUUGCGCUUCCCUAACUUCCCUUAAAAACCACUGAUCUAGAGACACAACUCAAAGAAGGAGUCUUUGAACACACAUCACUGCCUCCUCCUGGAUUGCCCACUUAUCACAUAAAGCUAACUUUCUUUUACUGAAGCUUGUCUCUUGAGUUUUGCCUUCAAGUGAUGCGUAGCCCAGAUGUGAGUUCACUUACAGGUCCCUCCUCCUGGCUGGUGUCUUGUAAAGUUUUUUUUUUUUUUCCAGGGUAUUCUUUAUUAUUAUUAUUAUUAUUAUACUUUAAGUUUUAGGGUACAUGUGCACAACGUGCAGGUUUGUUACAUAUGUAUACAUGUGCCAUGUUGGUGUGUUGCACCCAUUAACUCAUCAUUUACAUAGAUAUAUCUCCUAAUGCUGUCCCUCCCCUAGCCCCCCACCCCACAACAGUCCCCAGUGUGUGAUGCUCCCCUUCCUGUGUCCAAGUGUUCUCAUUGUUCAGUUCCCACCUAUGAGUGAGAACAUGUGGUAUUUGGUUUUUUGUCCUUGCUAUAGUUUGCUGAGAAUGAUGGUUUCCAGCUUCAUCCAUGUCCCUCCAAAGGACACGAACUCAUCAUUUUUUAUGGCUGCGUAGUAUUCCAUGGUGUACAUGUGCCACAUUUUCUUAAUCCAGUCUAUCAUUGUUGGACAUUUGGGUUGGUUCCAAGUCUUUGCUAUUGUGAAUAGUGCCACAAUAAACAUACGUGUGC
rnacentral:lncRNA from 10 species